ACCCCGAAGUCUACACAGUUCACCAGAGCAGCGGAGUCUUCAUAGCAGUCUUUCCACAGGUCAGACCAAUACCAAGCCAUUAUCACUACAGGGGAGCCCCCUUGAACCUCCAUCUUGGCCACCCUCAAUGGCCGAUCAGCUCAAAAUGAACAACCACAAAUAUGUACUUGGUCCAUAGCGAGGGUGCAGCCCACAAAACCCCAGCCCAGUAUGCAGAGCAGCAGACCUAGGAUCUGAAGCGGCGUGCACACCGACCACAGAUAGAAUGAACCUCCAGUCAUGUGAAAGGCUGAGCCAACCCAACCAAGGAACAGCGGGGUGCCAAGGUCAUAGCUGUUGGUGUUCAAACAUACAGACUGUGCACUCCAUACCCAUCAGACUGAGCACAAACCCCAGCAUACCCAGGGCAAGAGCUGCCAUCAGCAGACCUCUCACUAUCUGGAUCGAGCCUGGAGACACAUAGCAAGACACAAAUGGACAGUAAUCAGUGUUGGAACUGAAUAGACGAGACACUUUUUUGACUGGACCAGUACCAGGCCACCUUGAUGAUGGAAGAGCCCCCCAUACCCCCAAUUGAGGCGAUCUUCCAGCCCUCCAUGGCCAUGGUGCAGGCCACAAAGAUCCAGCCCAAAACUGUCAUCAGGAAACCCCAGAUUUGGACCACGCGAAUCUGCAUCUUGGGGGCGUGAGCUGAUCUCUUAUCGAACUAAUCCUUGAACAUUCAUCCAAAAUACACUUUUGACAUUAUUCUUUGUUUUGGCUUCAAGUGGCUGUCCUUUCCUCAUGUAAAAGUCAUGCACAUCUUGCGCUGAAUGCCUCUUUUUUCAUCCAAACUCAAGUGUCGUCAAUGUCAGCUACUCGUCACAGAAGAGGGAGAGGACAAAUGACUCACAGUAAUGGGUGGAGGGAUGUGGCUCUGUGUCCUCAGCUGCUGCUAAGGUCAACAAGCAGGUCAGUGACUCAACUUUUUUUUGUUUGUGAUCUCUUAAUAUAAGGCAGUGAUUUCUUGUCACAACUUAACAUGUUUUCUUUUUAUUUUAUUUUACAUUUUUUCCUUUUAUUAAAUCAUUGGAAACCAUUGGUAACAUACAUGGAUGUUCAGUUCAGACACGUGUGUGUAUAAGUGGCUUUUGUUCCUUCUUUUGUCUUGUACUACCAUUAACAUUAUAGUAUUUCACAAGAAAGUAAAUCAAAGAGAAUAUCCCAAAAAAUAAACAGAACUUUGGGUAGACGAAUUUAGGAUUUAGACUCUGCAGGCGUUCAUGGUCCGCAGAGGAUGACUCACAUUCAGUCCUUGAUCCCUUCACUUUUCCUUUAGUACUGCAAAAAGCUCAGAAUCUUCACAUAUUCUGUGAAAUAUCUCAACAGGAGUGUUUGGCCUAAAAUUUUGUACAAUAUUCAUAGUUUCCAGACGAUAUAUUCAAAUGACUUUGGAGAUCCUGACAGUUCCUGUAGCUCAGCAGGUUGAAUUUGAGGUUUUAAAUGAAUUGUUUUGACAGCCUUUGGAUGGAUUGCCAUGAACUUUGGUGCAGACAGUCAUGUCUUCUUUAAGAUGUAAUAAAUUAGGGGACUUUACCUGCAAAACAAAUAUCAUUGCCAGUAGUGUAAUCAAUGCUUUAGGGAUUUUUUAAAUUAAGAAAACAUGAACUUGUAACCAACAACAACUCUUGUGAGUAUUGUGAGCUGCCAUUUUCAAGUUUCACGUGUUAUAUUUGUCUUUGUAACAUCCCUAUGGGUAAUGCUGACAUUAGGCCAUACAAUACCACCAUUAUAUCAGACAGCAUUGUGUGGAGCCCAGGACACCUGACACUUGUUUACGGAUGCAAGGUGCCGGAAAGCACAGGACAACUGCUCUCUGCCAGCUGGUUCAGGUAUCCAACCCCUGGGCCAAGAGGUUUUGCGUAACACAGCCUGGGGUUCCUAUUGAUAAUAAUUCCUAGGUGGAGAUGGAUGGCUGAUAGGAGGGGAAACCUCCGGUAAGUCGUCCAGCUCUGCAUAGCCUUGUCUGGGUUAGGAUGUGACCUUGUGACCCCUGGAGGUCAGAUCAGUCUACCUUCUUAUGAUCCAUCUUUCUUCUCAAGAAAAAUUAACUGAUGCAACAUUAAACUAAAUGGUGUUUUCUGUUUCCUUAAAGCAACGUGACAAGAUUAAAAGUUGCAUCACAGCUACUCAUAUUUUAAAAUAGUUACUAUUAGUAUUUAAUAAAAUAAUAUUUGGUCGCAUUUACAGAAUGCUUAUGAAACAGAGCUGCUUUAAAUGAUGUAGAAAAUACAAUAAAUUUUCAUGAGUUUACAAAACAGUUUAUAUAACAUAAGCUCUACUAACAGGCUCAAACAAAAGGAGUACUUGCUAUCUGUCUGUCAUCCUUGACUGUCAAUGGGGAGAAAAUGCUUUAAAAUCUAUUGUGGACUUAAAAUAUUGAUGUCCGAUUGGCCUUUGUGUUUAGAAUUAUAAAAUAGAGAUUUAAUAUGUGUCCAGUCUAUGCUAAUAUACACAGGCAGGAGGGGCCAGCGUGAUGAAGGUGACCGGAGAGUUUGAAGUGUGUUUUGUGCCAAAUCAAAUUUCCUGCCCUAAAAGAAACCAAGCUUAUCUUUUACAUAAUGGCCAGUGACAGAAAUGUGCCAAAAAGCAGCCUUAUUUAAAGAAGAAUCUAUGAAAUACGUAAACUAUCACAUGAAUUACAUUUUCCAGCCAUUGUUUUCAUAGUGAAUGGUAACCUUGGCUUUUACUGGUGAAAUAGUUUUGGUGAAAACAAACUUUUAUGAUAAAUUCCACAAUCAAGUCACGUAACAACAAGAUAGAUUCCAAUUUCACACAUAGGCAUUCCUUCCAAACUGCCUUGAGGGCGCUCGUGGUUCCUUGCGGAGGCUGUUGACUGUCUUGCUGUGGUUGUUGUGCGUGGUCACAAACGAUGCAGCUCCACUGUAGGAGUAUUCAGCUCUGAGAAAAAAAAGGCACAAAAAACUAAAAAAGUUAGACUAUUUAGUUUCUCUCAAAGUAACUUGAAUCAGUACUUUAUUUGUCACCAAACAAAUUUCUUGCACCAAGUCUCGCAGUAUGACAAGAAUAAGGGUCUACAGCCUUUCUAACAGCCAUAGCGAGGCGCAGCUAAACCUAAAAAAUGCUAAUGUUAUGGGAGGACCGUGAACGUACACAAUGUCAUGGCAGUUCAUCCAGUGGUUGUUGAGAUGUUUCAGUCUCUUGAGAAGAUGUGAUUUAAAAUAAUGAAAGAGAAGGCUGGCUUUUGCCGCUUGGUGCAACACUUCCCUAUAGGUGGACUUGGUCAAGGUGACUUUAACUUUGGAAAGGUCCCUCUUAUUUGACUGCAACAAAAGAAACAUUCAGCCGUCAACGGCCACAUAACUAAUCAACAUGACAAUCAUCCAAUUUGCCUUAUAGGUUCUACAAUUAUGAGACAAGAUGUUGAGAGAGAUUAAUGGAUGUUUUCGACUGUUGCCGUCUCUCCAUUGCAGUUAAAGUAAUUACUUAAAUUGCUUGAUUGAGUUAAAAACUCAGUGCAGUUUAGAGUCCCUCCAAAUCAGAUUUUCUCUUGGCCCUUGUUGCCGAUGACAGAUGUGGGAUCACACUCUUAACAUUCAGCAUGUCAGAAAACAUCAAGCAACAUGCCUGACACUGAAGCCCUCAGACAAGGAGAGGCAGAAGAUAAGUCCACCAAGGAUACACAGCACAGAUCCAGCCCAGCCAAUGAAGAGAGCUGCUCCCAGCUCGAACCUGAAGGGUUGAAGUGAAAAAUGAAGAGGAAUUUAUGACAAGAAUUCCAUUCAUCUGAUUGUGGCUUUGAUCUGCUGUCAACCAAGUCUUUCUUUUAAUUCUGACUACUUACUUUUGGGCUACAAAGAGUGGGUCAAAGAAGUCGGUUGUGAUCCUGUGAGCAUAUAUAGAGUAUGCAGUCAUGGAGCAGAGGCCUUUGGAGAGAAAACAGUUGGAUUUACCUUUCCCAUAAAUACAGACAUGAAGACAAAAGCCACAUGAGAUAAGCAGCGUGUUUUACCGUUGAGAAUGAAGUGGAAGCCCGAGAGGAUGGUCAGACGAGCCUUGGUGGUCUCCGAGCCUCCUAUUUUUGUGCACUUCAUUCCUAUCAAGGCGAGGAUGGCACCAAAGAAACCCAGACAUACAGAGGUGAUCAUCAGACCCCGGCACACCUGGAUAUAGGCUUCAUUACAGGUAGAGAAUAAGGGAUCUUUAUGUCUGUGUGCUAGAUGUGAAUAUACAGUCAGCAACAAAAGGAAAAAAAUCAAGUCAGGGAGGAGUAUGAAUUUAUUAUUGCACAGGAAAAAAAGCUUUAAAAUUAGUAAAUACUGUAACUGAUUUUUUUUCCAUUAUUUCUGAAAUCAUAUGGUGAUUCAUCAGGUCUUGGAAUCUUUUGGGAACUGGUGCUUUAAACUAAAAACCUGGGGGAAAGGAUUUAGAAAAACCUAUGUGAAAUACUAAAACUUUAAGUGACAACAUAUUAUAAAGUGGUGUUAUUGAAACUGCAUGAAUGUCUCAGCUUGUCUUAACACAUUAAAAUUAAAGCACCAAACAAGCAAGUAAUAGGAAGUGACAAGUGACCUCUGUAUGACUGUAUGACUUUCUCAGAUUGCUUCAUUCGGAUACAUGAGGAGGUUGCAUCAGUCCAGCUCAGCUCCUCACUGAAAAAUGCCUCUGGUGGCCUUUAACUUUAAAAGCUGUAGUUGUUUGUGGCCUAAACCCACUUUCAGAAAACCAAGUAUCAAGUUACAAAUGCAUUUGUUUACAAUAGUGUUCAUUCAUCCAAAAACAACAGGUGUUCAAGAUUUUGGGCAUCAGUGCUUCAGGCAGCUGGAUAGCUGGAGAUAC